UACAGAGGGUGCAAGCGUUGUUCGGAAUUACUGGGCGUAAAGGGCUCGUAGGCGGCCAACUAAGUCCGACGUGAAAUCCCCAGGCUUAACCUGGGAACUGCGUCGGAUACUGGAUGGCUUGAAUUCGGGAGAGGGAUGCAGAAUUCCAGGUGUAGCGGUGAAAUGCGUAGAUAUCUGGAGGAAUACCGGUGGCGAAGGCGGCAUCCUGGACCGACAUUGACGCUGAUGAGCGAAAGCUAGGGGAGCAAACGGG
rnacentral:rRNA from 1 species